UAUCCCACUGACAGCACAAAUCCCAAGCCUUCCCCAUCUCUCUCCACCUUAUCUGGAGUCUAGGCCCCAUUCUCACGUCUCCCAGCAAGCCACCCUUGCAUUGGUUCCCACCAUGUGUCCAUGGGCACUGACUCUUAAGGUCCAGCUUCUCUGAGGAUAGUGGCUCCAUGUGGCCCCGAGGCACUUAGCUGAGACAGAAGGAAACAAUGUUGGAUCUUAAAUAUCACACCCUGCAGGAGCAGGAGGAAAAAAAAGGUCACAGAGACCCUCUCUGAAGAUCCCGAAAAGGAGACAGGCAGCCACUGGCUUGGGCAGGGCUGGCUUAGGGGA
rnacentral:lncRNA from 1 species